rnacentral:rRNA from 1 species
CCUACGGGAGGCAGCAGUGAGGAAUAUUGGUCAAUGGGCGGGAGCCUGAACCAGCCAAGUCGCGUGAGGGAAGAAGGUACUGAGUAUUGUAAACCUCUUUUGCCAGGGGACAAAGGCGGCCACGGGUGGCCGUCGGAGGGUACCUGGAGAAAAAGCAUCGGCUAACUCCGUGCCAGCAGCCGCGGUAAUACGGAGGAUGCGAGCGUUAUCCGGAUUUAUUGGGUUUAAAGGGUGCGCAGGCGGCGUGUCAAGUCAGCGGUAAAAUGUCGGGGCUCAACCCCGGCCGGCCGUUGAAACUGGCGGGCUCGAGUUGGAGAGAAGUAUGCGGAAUUCGUGGUGUAGCGGUGAAAUGCAUAGAUAUCACGAAGAACCCCGAUUGCGAAGGCAGCAUACCGGCUCCACACUGACGCUGAGGCACGAAAGCGUGGGUAUCGAACAGGAUUAGAUACCCUUGUAGUC